ensembl:lncRNA
GCAUUUAUAAAAGUGACAACCCAAUGUCUGUGGUAUCUGAAGUGAAGAAAUGGAACGCUGGGUUCUAGAGGGAGAUAGCUACUUGUUUCUUCGCAGUGCUCCACACACGUUCAACCUGCAGAAUCAUGAAGGGCCAAAUCGUGUGGAGAUCUUUGACAUCACUUCAAUCCCUAGCCAUCGUAAUGCCAUAUCUGAAACAACAUGCCUGUGUGACAUUUUUGUGGAUGACUGCGAGUCUCCAUCACUUUCCAGUAGCCCAGCCUCUGCCGCAUUUAUCAGGAGAGAAGUGGAUCAGUCUUUUCCAGCAGAUGAUGCCAAUGACUCUUCAGGAUCCUAUCACACUGCCAAUGGAUCUGACUUAAGCGACAACACUGAAGUCACUUACAACACACCUUCUCCAGAAAAUAUCCAGAAUUUUUCCACAUUUGAAACCAGGGAAUCACGUUCACCCCCAGGUGAAUCAACCAUCUUGUCUGAUUCCAAUAAUGGACUUAAACCACUAGACUGCACACCACCUGCAUCAAAAGUCAAUGCUAAUGACCUUUCACAUACAAAUAACUGGGAAGAACCACAAGUGUCAGUGGAUAAUGCCCCAGUGAAUGAAACAGCAAUCACAAAUGCAUCUGAACCACAGUAUGUGAACUCAACAACAGCUGCUACCCUGAUUAAUCCAGCAAAUGGACCUUCUAAUACUUCAUCCUGCUCUUCAGAAGAGAAAGAACCUGCAAUUUUUGAGCAAGAAGGAAUUAUUAAAACACCUCAACAUAAAAGUACAAACCCAUUUUUAGAUAAGCAAAUAUUUGAAUCAGACUGUGAAUCCUUCGCAGGGUAUCCACUUGAACAAAAUAAUGUGAUGUAUUCUGAGAAAAAAGAGAGUAUGAACUAUCGAAGUCCACAAGAGCAAAACAUUCUCUUUGCACAAGGGAUAGUGAACAGUGACUCUGCAUUAGAACUGUCAAACCCUGCUCCAACAGAUUGCAGCCCUAUGCAGGAAAUGUCUACUUCACCUUCAGACAGAGAUAUUAAUUUUCUGCCCAUACCCAGUGUCAUGCAAGAGCCCAGAUUAAACUCCACCUCACCUGUAAGCAGGGAAACUACCUCCACACCUGCAGGUAGAUCUUCACCUGAGGUGCUGAAUUUGUGUCCAACUCAAGUUAGGCAUGCAUCAGAGUCUCCAAACUUGGAGGACACAUAUGGUGCUUCUUUAUCUGUAUCUACACUUCCUACCAGUGAUAAUGUGGAAAUAGAUUCUCUAACUGUGUCUGCCAUUUCUACUGAAACAAGAGGAAUGGUAUGUUCACCCAUAGAUGUUAGAGAAAGACUGGAAUCACCUGAGAUCAAUGAAACCUGCUCUUCUCCUAAACACUCAGCACCUGCUCACUCACCAGAACCUGUACUGAUUAAUUCCCCUGUGGGUUACACCACCAGCCCAUCACCUACAUGUGAGAAAAUUGUUUAUUCUGUUGAACCUGAAGACUCACCAUCCUUCCCUGAGGUCACAAGGAUUGAUUACAGUGACAUCUGCUCCUCUUCUGAUCACUCCGUUUCAGCUCACUCACCAGAACCUGAAAUAAUUCACUCACUGAUGGGUUAUACCAUCAGCCCAUCACCUACACAUAAGAGAAUGCUUUUUUCAGUGGAACCUGAUGACCUUCUAUCCUCCCCUGCCAUCACAAGACCUGAUUAUACAGCAACACCAACAAGCUGUGGAAAUUCCACACCUGUGUUAAGGAGCAUUACCUCCACUCCAAACAGCAGAGAAAAUUACCUUACACCAGAGCCCAAUUCCCCAGCCCCUUCACUGGAAUUGAGAUCAGUCACCUGCUCACCUGAAAUCAAAACAAUAUCAUAUAGUGUUCUGCCACAAAAUACAAAAUCCCCUGGCAUCACAUAUAGCGUUACACAAUCUGAAGGUUUAGCACAAUCACCUGCAGUAGAGACAAAUGUCUGUGGCAACUCCUCUGAAACUUCCAACUAUAUUUUUGGAAAUGACACCUCUGUCUUACCUAGCUCAAGGAAUUUUUUGUCAACACCAGAGAGUAGAUCAAGGCCCUCAUCAGCUGCAUCAGACCAUACCAAACACACAGCACAAAUCCCUUAUCUCAAACCUGAGUCUUCCAUCACUCUUGAAAAGGCAGAAAAUCAGACUUUAUCCAUAAUCUGUGAUAGAAUGAAUCAUCCUUUCUCUAACCCAAUAGACUGUUUUAAUUGUUUUGAUGACCUUGCUGACACAAAGACUCCCAAAAGCAUUGCAUCUGUCCCGAACGAAUGUAAAGGCAGUGGACCACCAGUUCUUAGCCAAAUGCAGAUCUUGCAAGCUUCAAUCUCUAAAACCUCAGAUUCUGGAUUGUCCACAGUAAAAAUUGAGAAAAAUCAAGAAAUUGUCACUGAUAACACAACUGAUUUAACUGUCUGUGGAACAUUAACUUCCACAAGUCCAUGGACCGCAUCUGUGCCGAAACCAAUAGCAUCUAUAGAGAAGAAACAAUGCCAUGUUGAGGUUUCUGAUAGCAGCAAGGGAACAGAAAUGUUGAAAAAUUAUUCCCCAGACAGUAACAAGAGGCUUAGUCAAGUGCCUAUAGCAUUAAGAGAUAGCCAUGGGGUUAUCAGUAGGGACAAUGGUGGUGAAUUUGACAGGCAGCCAUGCAGGGAAAAGGAAGAGAGUGGAAAGAAGGAGGGAGAGGGGAAGGAUACUAUGGGAGAGAGUAGUUACAGAGGGGAACAGGUUGAGCUGUCAUUCAGGGUCAGGAAUAGAAAAGGGCCUGCAGGCCACAGCCCAGCUCGCUCAAGUCAAGACCCAAAGUCAGGAAUUCCAGCUCGCUGUUAUUUUGAGUCGCACCCAACAACUCUGCAGCAACAGAGUCAGCUCAGAGCUCAGGGCUCACAACAAGAGAAUAAGGUUGGCGCCAGGAGGCUCCAUUCAGCUGCCCAGGGUAAAUACAGCAGUGCAGGCUUUCUUUCUCCUGAAUGUACUGGUAAAACCUCCAGCAUGGGAAGUGAAUUUGAUGAAGUAGACAAUGAAGUAAAAUGGUUUACAGAUCCAGCCUUCAGAAGCCUAUCUAGCCCUCAAGUGGAUUAUUUGGAUGUGUACAAUUCAAGCCACAGGUCAUCUACAAAUGUUUCACAGGCUUCGACCGUAGACAGCCCUGGUGCUGUUGCAUGGAUGACAUACGCAGACUUACUUGGCUCAGCGUUACAUGAAAACGAUGGCUCAUCUUUUCUUCCCCGUGAUGGCCUGGACCCAAACAAACACUUUGAAAUAGGGAGUUUUGAGUGUGUGGACGUUGCAUUAGAGAGCCGGGAAGAGUCCAGUAGAGGAAAGAGGACAGUGCCUAAAAGGCAGAUCCAGCUGUUAAGGCGGAACACAGAUGAAUCAAAAUAUAAAGGAAACACUGAAAAUAUACUGAAUUCACCAUCCACACAUAGACGCUCAAAAGACACAUUUGUUCGUCAACAUAGCACACCAGCAUUUGUGCAAAAGGAAGUUUCCAAGGAGGUGCCAGAUUCACCACAGAAUGAAAGGAAAAAGACACUGCAGAAGUCUGUGUCUUUAGAUGAUGGCUCCCCUAAGACACAAAUGGCAUCUUGCAUUAUCAAGAGUGUGUUGUCAAAGAAAAUGCAGGAUGUGCAGAAAGAGACACCAAAAAGUACAGAUCCAGGUCGAUCUGCAGAUAAAAACAAACAUCCUGAUGUCAGCCCCGGCUCUUUUUGUGGUGUACCAAGUACCAUGGAGAAACAUAGUUUAAGCUCUAGUCUACAUUCCCAGUGUACUCUUUCAUCUGAAGAUUUUGCUGUCGGAGAGGAGAGAAUUUCACAUCGUCAGCCGAAGAAGUGUGCUCCAAAAGUUCCUCCAAAACCACUCUUAAGACCUGCAUUCUUUAACACUGGGGAAGCUCAGGUAGCUUGCAACAUUACAAGGGAAGAAGCAAAGCCUAUAUUGGCCCCUCCAAAAGUUGAUGACAAAAUCCAAAACUGCAAGAGUGAUGGGAAAGAAGGGGGAGGUAGCAACCUUGAAGAGAAGUACAAUAUUGAGUCAGCAAAUGCCAAUAUCAGGAAUACAAGUCCUGCUGUUGCUACACCAGCAAUUAGCAUGCCAAGCAGAAUGACAAGCCGAGACAUAAAAAAGUGCCAGAUGACACCGGGAAACCAGGAACAGCUGGCUGGAAAGAGUGUAUUUAUGUCAAAAACCCCAGAAAUAACUUUGAAACCUUCUUCUAUCAAACAAAAAAAGACAUCUUCUCUAAAAGUGUCUCUGUCCCCUGACUUGGAACAGUCCAGAGAAAUGUCUGAAUCUCAGACAAUAGAGAAUGCUGCAGAAGAUAUAAGCACCAGAUCUACCAAAGUCACAGAGACAGAAGACGAUGACAGAAACAAAAAAUCUGUUAUACAUAGAGUUAGGGAUGUGAGGAAGUUGGUAAAAAACACAUACAACCUGUCUUUCAAAGCAUCAAAUUCAACCUCUACUGCAGAAGACAUGGUCGGUCAAGAGAAAAGAGAGAAGCCACCACAAGCUUCUCCAGCCUUGCAAAUUGAAUGUACAGCCAUCAGUUGGAAGGACAAACAAACAUCAGGCAGCAAAGCAAUCCACUGUCUUGGUGAAAAACAACCUGUAGACAUAUCAAAAAUAUCACAACCAUGGGAGUGCGCAGAGACGAGAAGAGAUGCUGACAUCACUGAAAUAACAUCCAAAGUCUCUUCACCAAAGACUGAGUCACAACAAAAAUUCCCAUAUUCUAACUCUACAACUACAGGUGGAUUACCAGAAUCGGAAAGUAUCACUAAGAGAUCUUACAUUCACUGUGAUCAGAGUUCUAAGAUGCCCCCUAGACCCCCAAGUAAGGAGCGCGAAGUUUCUGCAUUGGUGGUUCUUCCGGAUUGCACAUCCAAGACAAAGUCCGUUGCCCCAACAGUGCUUGACUCUACUCAAAUGAAAGCUGCAAGCAGCAGCCACUCUGUAUCCAUGCUACUGAAAGAAAAAGGGAUGCAGGCUGAUAUUGGAGUAUGUGAUGUUCUCACUGAAUCUGCAAGUGCUACAGCUAAACAUGUCAACAGGCUUGAGGUACCUGUACAGGCCUGUUUAUCAGAAAGCAUUUCAAGUGAAGGACAGGUAAAGGCAGAAAUUACAUCAUUGCCUUGCAAUCCAACAGCUCUUGUGAACAAUUCAUCAAGAACAUCCCAACCGAGUGAGAGUCCCAAGGGAACACUGACAGAAAAAUCUUCAACAAAGGAACAAGAAAAAAAGAAAAUAACUGCCACCACAACUAUAGCACAAAUUCCAACUUAUUUAGCAACAUCUGGCAAGCCACAGGUGAGGUCUUUUUCAAGUAGUACAAAAAAUAAUGCCACACCAGUGAAUGCAUCAAAAGAGAUUGAGUUACCCAUACAAGUGAGGUCAAUAUCCACUGAUAGACUAAAGCCGCUUGUACCACCAAAACCCAGCUAUAAACAGUCAUCUGCAGAAGUUACGUCAGUGUCAAGUGACCCAUCAAAAGCAGAUACUCAAGCAUCAUCUGUUAUUAAACAGCAAACCAUGUUAAAUAGUGAAUCAACGAAAAAUGAAACACCAUUAACAGUAAUACACAAGGAUCAACCAAACGAGACUUCAUCAAGAGAUACAAAAAGACUGGCUGUAUCAGCUGUAUCAAGCUACAAACAACCAUCCAUCCAAGUCACAACAACUCCAAGUGUGGUGCAAAAAUCCACCACAAAGACAUUGGCCAGUCUGGAUCAACAGCAGUCUUCUGCUAUCUUGCAAACAACCAGCACUUGCCAGCAGCAAAGCCCAUCAUUCAGUCAAGACCAGUCAAUGCUAGAUAGUUCCUUUACUUCUAACCCAUCAGGACCACAAGCCCUUGGCCAAACAGAAUCUGUGACGAGAGCAUCAUCUAACAAUCGUUUUCACACAGAUGAGUAUCUAUUCUACGCUUCAGAUGAUCCUCCCAGCUAUGAUGAGCGAGAGAGUUUCAGCCCACUACGGCUAUCAGACUUACCCCCCCAUAGGUCAUGCCGGUAUCAUUCAACCACAAAGCAAUCUUCUUGCUCCUGUACACCAAGUUCACAUUUACAUCAAGGACACCCCCACCACAGUCCACAGGAACGGGUACCAGCAGCUUCUCAGUCUCCAGGCCAAGUCCUUAUCUGUCCCGGAGCUCCUCCGCAAGCUCAAGUUCGUCCUCAUCAGUGCAGACCAGAUAGUCUGCCAGUCUCCAAUACCACAAUACCCCAUGCCUCAGCUUUGGUUCAGCCUCUGCACAACCCACGAGCUUGCCCUGUCUCAAACUCACAAUCCUAUGGUGAUGACCAACCACCAACUUCUGGGUUGCAUGCAGAUAGACGCCCAGCUAAUCAUCCUUCACCUCAAGCAGCAGGUCCAUCUCCCUAUCAUGCGUAUUCUCAUUCAGCUAACAUGUCUACUGUGGAUCCCAGGCCUCAGUUGUUUAAUCCCCAAGAUUUGCCACAAUCUUUUGGCCAUGAUUAUGCAAAUGAAGGUCCAGGGGGAGCUGGUGUAUUGUAUCCAGAGAAUGCGACUGGGCUCAGCUGUGGCCAAGGUUCUCGUCGUGUCCUUCUUGAUCCUGAGACUGGGAAAUACUUCUACAUUGACGCACCACCCUACUCCUCUUUGCAUAGUCCUGGGUUGUAUGCACCACAGUACCUGCCUUAUACUGUGCCAUCUUACCCAGCAAUCUCAGGUAGUGCCCAGCAAGUUCGCCAUCCAGAGCCACCUCCUGUCCCCACCACACUUCACCAGACUUCCUUAAGGUAUGGAAGUCCUGCAAGCCAGAUGCCAAAAAAUGAACCAAAAGGCCAUUCAUUGCUGGAUCAAAGUUAUUUAGAAAGCAUGUAUUACAUCCCCACUGGGAUGAAUGCAAGCCCAAAUUCAACCCCUUCAGACUGCUACCACAAGCCAUCAAGCAUGCCUCCUUCAGGGGGAAGAAGAGCAUGA